CCCGCGAGGAGCGGGUCCCGCCGCCGGGCGUCCGGGCGUCUCCGCGAGUCCGAGUCGGAGCCGAGUCAGAACGCGAGCGGGAGCCGGGCCGGGCGCGGUGGGCGCCGCCCGCCAUGGACCACAAGCCCCUGCUGCAGGAGCGGCCGCCAGCCUACAACCUGGAGGCCGGCCAGGGCGACUUCGCGUGCGGCCCGCACGGCUACGGCGCUAUCCCCGCCGCCGCCCCGCCGCCGCCCUACCCCUACCUCGUCACAGGGUUACCCACGCACCACCCCAGGGUCUACAACAUCCACAGUCGAAAUGUCACCCGGUACCCUGCCAAUUCCAUCGUUGUCGUUGGAGGCUGCCCUGUCUGCAGGGUCGGGGUUCUGGAGGACUCCUUCACCUUCCUGGGCAUCUUCCUGGCCAUCGUCUUGUUCCCCUUUGGGUUCAUCUGCUGCUUUGCCUUGAGGAAGCGAAGAUGCCCCAACUGUGGAGCAAACUUUUCUUAACGGGAACAGCGCGCCCGGCUCCCUUUUUCUCAUGUAAACGUCGUGUACACUAGCUUCACGGGAUGCAGCUUCAGGACUGCUUUGUAAAGGGAGGUGGGUGGACUGGGCGCUGCCAGCAGGAGCCGAGGGCACGGGUCGGGAGUGCGGACGCACAGGGCACUGCUCCCAGGUCAACGACAGCUCAGUAAAGCGCUGCUUUUAUUUUUCGCAGUCUUCAGUUUGAGAAAGAGCACGCACCCCAGUGCCCAGGACCUAAGGCAAGGCCUCCCGUGCUGUGUGACGCAGGUGCAGAAAGCCAGUCACAGAAGCAUCUACUAUCCCUUAUUCUGGCUAUUAAAAAAAAAUCAUAGAAUAUUUUUUAAAAUGAUACAAUAGGAUUGGAACCAAAUUUACAGUUCUUGAACAGAAUAGGAAGAAAAUACUUUAAGUGAUUGAGUUGUAUCUAAACUAUGACGGAGUUAUCUUAAAGACAGAAAUGUGUAAACCCAACUAUGUUAAAUUAGAAAAUGCACUGAUUUGCUCAAGUGGAAUACAUGUAAAAUCAGGCACCCUCCAGGGAAGCUUUACAAGAGGACAGCACUUAUCACACACGUAUACCUAUCAUUUCCCAAGCGAGAACCAAACGGGGAACCGGAAGAAUCUGGGGCCACCUUCUCAUUGAAUGGCUGGUGCCGAGCGAUCGUUUGUCACCGUUGGUCGGAGUUUCACAGUAGCAAAGGGAUUUUCUCUGCUG